rnacentral:RNase_P_RNA from 1 species
CCGGUAAGGUGUUCUACCGCUGCUGCUUUGCAGGAGAGGAAAGUCCGGGCAAGACAGAGCGCCACGCUACCUAACGGGUAGAUGUUCGUAAGGGCAUGUAAAGCGUAACAGAGAAUAACCGCCUUGUAGCAACGUGUUGCAGGCAAGGUAAGGGUGAAAAGGCGAGGUAAGAGCUCACCGCGACAAUGGCAACAUUGAUCGGCAGCACGCACCGUGGCUUGCAAGACCGCGUACACCGGCGUUUGAGGGUUGCUCGUCCGAUGCCGGGGGGUAGGUUGCUUGAGCGUUGCAGUGAUGCAGCGCCUAGAUAAAUGGUAGAACCUGACAGAACCCGGCUUAUAGCCUUACCGGAUUU